rnacentral:rRNA from 1 species
AUCGAACGCUGGCGGCAGGCUUAACACAUGCAAGUCGAACGAGUGGCGGACGGGUGAGUAAUGACUGGGAAACUGCCUGAUGGAGGGGGAUAACUACUGGAAACGGUAGCUAAUACCGCCUACUCUCGGAUGUGCCCAGAUGGGAUUAGCUAGUGGGUGGGGUAAAGGCUCACAUAGGCGACGAUCCCUAGCUGGUCUGAGAGGAUGACCGGCCACACUGGAACUGAGACAGGGUCCAGACUCCUACGGGAGGCGGCAGUGGGGAAUAUUGCACAAUGGGCGCAAGCCUGAUGCAGCCAUGCCGCGUGUAUGAAGAAGGCCUUCGGGUUGUAAAGUACUUUCAGCGGGGAGGCGUUACCCGCAGAAGAAGCAACGGCUAACUCCGUGCCAGCCGCCGCGGUAAUUC